GUCAUUGCAGCAGAAUACGACAACUGGGAGACACCCCUGCAGUUUAUGUGAGGUGCUGAAAGUGAAAGUGAGAUUACAUGCCUCUGUGUCCUGACUUCUGCUGUCUGGGAACAUGCUCAUGUUUCUUUUUCCAAUGGUUGGGAUUAAUGGGAGGAGGGCUUUGGGAGAGUAUUGCUGUAUCAUGUACUCUUCCAUCCUGAUCUGUGACAGACCCACGAGGACAGGACUGUGGUCAAGGACUGAAAAUGGAUCUGACUGCAAGAAAAUGUUUUUUGCUGAGACCGAGCAGUACAAUCUAUUCAUGGAAGUCAUCAAAUGAAAGCGCUGUGCGAGGGUGAGGGAGUUCUUCCGCGGUAGUCACAACAGCGUUACCAGGCAACAGAGAGAACAUCGGUAUACAGUAGAGAGUCCCACAGAGAGAUGUGGCAGAUACACUCGCUCGCCCACUCGCUCGCCCCCAUCUCCUCCAGCGCGUCGACAAUCACACCUCUCCACAGGAGAGAGAGCUGCAGCUCGUGACUGCUCCCAACGGGCAGCACUGACUCGUCAUUGACAGAACCUCAGCCUUUUAACGGCUCAGGAAGGAUCACGUCUGCGCUGCAGAAAUCGUUCUGUCAAAAUAAGGCUGUGCACUGUUUAUAUUUUUUCUGGUAUUUUAUCGUUUUGAGGGAUGAUGAUGGCCUGGCUCUCAUUUUUCUGAGACACAAGAACACAGAUAGUCAAUGAUCAUUUCAAGGCCUUAUGUGGCUGUUUGCUUGUGGUGUUCUUUGCCUCACAUGUAAGCUGCGUUGGAUAAAAGUGUCUGCUAAAUGAAUAAAUGUAGAUGUAAAUGCAAUGUAAAAAAUGAGAAAUAGCCUUAGUACCUAAACAACAAAAUCUGAUAUGUAAAGCAUUGGUCUGAUGCACUACGCCCUUCCCCUGAGGUUUCUUUUCUCAUAGAACCGCGCUGCCUAUUGGAGCAAGAACCUGAUUGGACAAGGCAAUUCCGUCCUCCUUUUGUUGCAUGUCUUUGCAGGAGCACGCUUGACUUGAAAUAGCUGUUCCCGGGGGGGGCCGUAACAACUGGAGCGGCACUCAAACGAUGCCAGCCGGGUAUCCCUUCCUGUCGUGUUUCCAAGGACCCCAGCCCCGUCCCUGCUCCCCUUUUCCCGUGUCCCACCUCAGGGUGCUGUGAAUCCCACUGAAGUGGAGCUGUCAUGAACCAUCAUCUGUGCCAGAAACCUCAUCAGUCAUCUCAUGAUCGAAAUACACCCAAUCAAAGACUGCCUGUUCGCGAAUCUGUGCCUUUAACCAGUCCAUUACCGCUUCGUUGGACAUUGAUUCCCUUAGGAAAUCUGCAAUGGAGCAUACAGUACACACAGACUGCCCUGUUGGAAUGACUAACAGAAACUUUAGCCAAUUGAAAAUUUCCUCCCAUAUUAUGUGGGUGAAACUGGACAUGUCGUCAGUGAUGCAAGUUUUUUGGAGUCCAAACUUUUAUGUGGAAAAAAAAUCAAUCAUGCUAGUGGUUACUUCAUACUGAAAAAUCCCUCUAUGUGCAAUAUCAGUUGAUAUUAGUGUGAAGUUGUCAUGUGCAGGUAGACUUUUGGAUGACUUUACUCAGUUUGUUUAUUUUUAUAAUACCGGCAUUUUUCCUAACAUAUUUUUCUAAAAAGAAAGUUCUACCCAGUGAAGUAAAAAAGGGAGUGUUGGAAAAGCACACGCAGAGCGGCAGACUUCUGCAUGAGCUCGAAGUUCCGGAGCUCAUGCGGUAUCCCAUCAUGCACUGCGCUCCUCUCCUGAUGAGGGGCAAAGCCAUGCUCUCUCCCGGCGGCUCUCAGGUGUGCUUGUGUGCAUGUCGUUUCGAUGUCCCCCCGGAAUAGAGAGCGACCUCAGGGCUUUGCCUCUGUCGCGCACCUCCACAACACACCUGCAGCCGAAGAGAGCAUCAGUUUAUUCCCUGCGAGCACUUUGCUUUUACACACACAACGCAUGCACGCUCCGCUCGGAUUGGUCCGAAUACUCCCACGUGACAUGACUGGACCUUAAUUACAAAGGAACAUUUUUUUUUUUGUGACAAGAACAGGCCAUCCAACCUACCUUUGCUCAUCACUUUGCAUAGACGUGUAAUAGUAGUGAAAACCUUUUUGACCAAUCAGAUACGUGCCCGUUGUCUGCAAAGAGAAAAAUCAAAAAGUUCAACAGUACAUCAGGGAGAUGGAACCCAUGGUCAGAAGCCAUUUUGACAGUUUCUAUCUAAUCUACCUUUAUGUGGCCUGUUCUUUUUUGCUGAACAUCAAGGUGUUUCUUACUUUUUUUCCUGCAUAUCAACACAUUUGCAUGUGUGUGUAUGUGUGUGCGUGUGUGUGUGUACACGUGUGUGUUUGAAUGGAGGUUUACAGAUAUAUUCUUCAUUACUCAAUGUUUUGUCCCAGUUUCUUUACUUGUAUUUGUGAAAGAAGUAUCUUUUUAGCUGCUAUCCUUGUACUUUGUAAAUGGGAGGCACCCUUAUUCUUGGAGAGCUGUGAUUAUGUUGAAUGUGUCUCAGCGAAAAAUGACUGGAUUGCCAACAAUGCAGAUCACCACGAUUGCAGCAACGCGCUCCGGAGAAUUUUUCAGCCCAGUGAUUGACGCAGGCCUGAAUCACAUGAUGCCCUGCUCUAUGGCCAUUCACAUGGGACGACAUCUUGUUCAUAUUAACCAAGUGAUAAGAGAUCACCUCAUUAAAUUCCUGUUCACCAGUGGUUUCCUGACUUUUAUAUUAUGUAAGAUUCUGCAGAUAUAUCAGUAUAUGCAUUUCCCUACCAGCACA